AAAUAACAAAAAGCCAAAUACGCUAGUUUAUGACUAUAAUCUAGACUAGUUCUCUCUACUUUUUAUAUAUGAAUGAAGACAUACACAAGUCAUUAUUUUGCAGUAAGCAACAGUUUUGUCCUUGAAGAUGAAAGAAAAACAUCAAGAUCACUCUUUGAAAAGUCUGUGUCAGAUCUAACUCACAGCAUGUACUGUAAUGAAGGUUCAAGGUUUAAGUGAGACACCCAAAAAAUCAUUAAAAUUUCAUCACGCUGGUCUCAAUCAAUCAAAGUGAAACAAAUAAAAUAAAAACGUAAAAAAAAAAAAAAAUGCACAUAUUCAAAAACAAGAAAAAAAAGUUUAAUUAUUCCCACACCAUAGAAACCACCAGAGCUCUGUUUACACCAAACACUUCCGGUAGGGUACCAUUGGAACCAAAGUAACCCUUCAGACAUGGUACCUAGACCCUAGAAUUUCCACUGCAAACAGUACUCUUAAAUGUGGGCGGGGUUGUUGUCACUCACUGCUCCGUCCAGCACUCACUGUAUUUCACAGAACGAGGCUGCAGGCAGACAUUUUCAGAACAAAAUAAAACAGGCUGCAGUGAGAGUCUCUCUCCAUGGGAUAUUUAAAAAUAGCAAGUUUGUGAAUUUAGUCCUUCUCAGGCAAGCUCAGGGGUUUAGUGUUGCUGUAGCCCACAGGAAUGAUGCUCCACAGUGCUUUUGUUUUUUUUUUGUCGGAGUAAGGAUAGAAAUAUAUGCAGUUCAGAUAACCUGGUCAAAAAUUAGUAUGUAUAAACACUUGAAGAUCCACUCAUUACUAAAAGUGUAUGUCAUAUAAAAACUCAAGAAAUGGUCAAAGUUGUCACAGUGACAUUUAAGGUGUGCUGAUGGAUUCAUGUCGUCAGCUCAUGCAUUGAGUAACAUUAUAAGUUAACAGUCGGCCCAGUGAGUUAUUUUUUCUCAGACUCCAGCUGCUGCAAGAGGCAGCAAAACAUCCUUUCAUUUUAUAGUUACAGUCUAAUAAAACUCUCCACAGUAUGAACAGUGGUUACAUGAGCUUCAAAACCAGCCACAACUCAGCCCUGAGCAAAGUGACCGUCCUCUACUGACCAAUCAACAGACUGCAAUGUUCACAGCUCCACCUUUUAGUACCAGAUCUGUGUGCUAGGUACCCCAACAGAGGGGGGACCAAAAAUGGGGACGGUACAGAACAGUUCCAUUGGUACCAUCCACAACUUUUCACAGUGGAAACUGAAAAACGACGUAACAAACUGAACUGUACCAUACUGCUCGGUGGAAACAGGGCGUAUGUCUCUGGUUUGAAUCCAGCUCCCUCCACCCUUCUCCCCACAUUUUCUGUCUGCCUCUGACCUAUAAUCACUUGAAAGUAAAAAUGUCUAAAAUUUCACUGCAUGUAAUACACAACAACAAGCAAACUCAAGUACAUUAAAACUCAAAAAGAACAGGGAUACGAUAACUUGACAAAAAUGGUUGAGAUCAAAUCCAGAGGUGUCAUGUCUCUGAGGGAUCGGUGUGCCCACAGGGACCUUCAGUGGGUGAUCAGGCAUCUGCUGAUUCUCUCCACUGAGCAAACCUGAAACGUCC